GCUCCNCAUCUUCGGAUGAGGGGAUUUCCUAGUGGCGGACGGGUGCGUAACACGUGGGUGACCUGCCCCGAAGUGGGGAAUAACUCCGCGAAAGCGGAGCUAAUACCGCAUGAUGUCGCGCGAGUUAGAGGUCGCGCGUCUAAAGAUUUCGGUCGCUUCGGGAGGGGCUCGCGGCCCAUCAGCUAGUUGGUGGGGUAAUGGCUCACCAAGGCUAUGACGGGUAGGGGACCUGAGAGGGUGAUCCCCCACACUGGAACUGAGACACGGUCCAGACACCUACGGGUGGCAGCAGUAGGGAAUAUUGCACAAUGGGCGCAAGCCUGAUGCAGCAACGCCGCGUGCGCGAUGAAGGCCUUCGGGUUGUAAAGCGCUUUUCGGAGGGAUGAAUCAAGACAGUACCUUCAGAAUAAGGAUCGGCUAACUACGUGCCAGCAGCCGCGGUAAAACGUAGGAUCCAAGCGUUAUCCGGAAUUACUGGGCGUAAAGGGUGUGUAGGCGGCUUGGCAAGUCGGGCAUGAAAGCUCCUGGCUCAACUAGGAGAGGUUGUCCGAUACUGCCAGGCUAGAGGGCAAGAGAGGGAGGUGGAAUUCCCGGUGUAGUGGUGAAAUGCGUAGAUAUCGGGAGGAACACCAGUGGCGAAGGCGGCCUCCUGGCUUGUGCCUGACGCUGAGACACGAAAGCGUGGGGAGCGAACGGGAUUAGAAACCCCGGUAGUCCACGCCGUAAACGAUGUCAACUAGGUGUCGGCGGUCUAGAACCCGUCGGUAUCGAAGCUAACGCGUUAAGUUGACCGCCUGGGGACUACNAUCGCAAGAUUAA
rnacentral:rRNA from 1 species